rnacentral:tRNA from 3 species
GGGGCUAUAGCUCAGUUGGGAGAGCGCCUGGAUCGCACCCAGGAGGUCGCCGGUUCGAGCCCGGCUAGCUCCA